rnacentral:rRNA from 1 species
CAACUGCAAGUGGUGGAUCACUCGG